CCUAGCUGUGUUGGCUUUCUAACCCGCACCACUUAUCGUGGUGGGAGACAGUGUCAGGCGGGCAGUUUGACUGGGGCGGUCGCCUCCUAAAAGGGAACGGAGGCGCUCAAAGGGUCCCUCAGAAUGGUUGGAAAUCAUUCAUAGAGUGUAAAGGCAUAAGGGAGCUUGACUGCGAGACCUACAAGUCGAGCAGGGGCGAAAGACGGACUUAGUGAUCCGGUG
rnacentral:rRNA from 1 species